CCUCAUCUUUAUCUUCUUAUCUUCCUUAUCCUGAUCUUUAUCUUCCUCAUCCUGAUCUUUAUCUUCCUUAUCCUUAUCUUCUUAUUUUCCUUAUCUUUAUCUUUCUCGUCAUAUCUUUAUCUUCUUAUCUUCCUUAUCUUAUCUUCUUAUCUGUAUCUUAUUAUCUUUAUCUUCCUUAUCUUCCUUAUCUUUAUCUUCUUAUCUUCUUUAUUCUUAUAUUUAUCUAUUAUCUUCCUUAUCCUUAUCCUUAUCUUCUUGUCUUUAUUUUAUUAUCCUUACCUUUAUUUUCCUUAUCUUCCUUAUCUGUAUCUUCUUAUCUUCCUUAUCCUUAUCUUUAUUUUCCUUAUCUUCUUAUCUCCUCGUCUUCAUCUUCUUAUCUCCUCCUUUUCAUCUUCUUAUCUUCCUUAUCCUUAUCUUUAUCUUCCUUAUCCUUAUCUUCAUAUUUUCCUUAUCUUUAUCUUUAUCUUCGUAUCUUCUUAUUUUCCUUAUCCUUAUCUUCUUAUCUUUAUCUUAUUAUCCUUAUCUUUAUCUUCCUUUUCUUUAUCUUCUUAUCUUCCUUUUUCUUAUCUUUAUCUUCUUAUCUUCCUGAUCCUUAUCCUUAUCUUCUUAUCUUUUAUCUUUUUUAUCUUAUUAUCUUUAUCUUUAUCUUCCUUAUCUUUAUCUUCCUUAACCUUAUCUUCUUAUCUUCUUUAUCUUUAUGUUCUUAUCUUUAUCUUCUUAUCUUUAUCUCCUUAUCUCCAUUAUUCUUAUCCUUAUCCUUAAAGCUUAUCCUUAUCCUUAACCUCAUCCUUAUCCUUAUCCUUAUCCUUAUCUUCUUGUCUUUAUCUUAUUAUCCUUCUCUUUAUUUUCCUUAUCUUCCUUAUCUUUAUCGUCUUAUCUUCCUUACCCUUAUCUUUAUUUUCCUUAUCUUCUUAUCUCCUUAUCUUCAUCUUCUUAUCUUCCUUAUUCUAAUCUUUAUAAUCCUUAUCCUAAUCUUCUAAUUUUCCUUAUCUUUAUCUUUAUCUUCUUAUCUUUAUCUUCUUAUCUUUAUCUUAUUAUUCUUAUCUUUAUCUUCCUUAUCUUCCUUAUUUUUAUCUUCCUUAUCUUUCUUAUCUUUAUCUUCUUAUCUUCCUUAUUCUUAUCUUUAUCUUCCUUAUUCUUAUGUUUAUCUUCCUUAUCCUUAUCUUUAUCUUCCUUAUCUUCCUUAUCUUUAUCUUUUUAUCUUCCUUAUCCUCAAUAAGCUUCCCGCUAUAUUGAUAUGUUCAACACAACUUAGGAGCCGAGCUCUUUAGGCUCGGAGCCAGCUCCUUAGGCUCGGAGCCAGCUCCUUAGGCUCGGAGCCAGCUCCUUAGGCUCGGCGCCAGCUCCAUAGGCUCGGAGCCAGCUCCUUAGGCUUCCUUAUCAUUAUUUUCCUUAGCUCUUUAGGCUCGGAGCCAGCUCCAUAGGCUCGGAACCGAAAAUAAGAGGAUAAUGAUAAGGAAGCCUAAGGAGAGCGGCUCCGAGCCUAUGGAGCUGGCUCCGAGCCUAAAGAGCUCAGCUCCGAGGCUAGGGAGCUCGGCUCCCAGCCUAAGUUGUGUUGAACAUAUCAAUAUAGCGGGAAGCUUAUUCAGAAUAAGGAAGAUAA